GUCCCAUAUGAAACAAAAAUUUGAAAAAUAUUGGGGAGAUCCUGAAAAAAUGAACUUCUUGAUAUUCUAUGCCAAUAUUUUGGAUCCUAGGGAUAAGAUUGAGUACAUGCCUGCCCAAUUUGCCCAGUUAUAUGGUGAUGAAAAAGGAAAAUCAUGCUUUGAAAAGCACACGUGUGAACUCCA